rnacentral:rRNA from 1 species
UACAGAGGUCCCAAGCGUUGUUCGGAUUCACUGGGCGUAAAGGGUGCGUAGGUGGCGAGGUAAGUCGGAUGUGAAAGCUCGGAGCUCAACUCCGAAAUGGCAUUGGAAACUACCUUGCUAGAGGGUCGGAGGGGGGACUGGAAUUCUUGGUGUAGCAGUGAAAUGCGUAGAUAUCAAGAGGAACACCAGUGGCGAAGGCGAGCCCCUGGACGACUCCUGACACUGAGGCACGAAAGCUAGGGGAGCAAACAGG